rnacentral:rRNA from 1 species
GAAAAUAACUAAAUACCCUAAAGUUACCAGAUCCUGUAUGUUCUUGGAAGAAAAGCAGAGUUAGCCCUGGCUAGUACUCGGAUAGGUGUCUGCCAAUGGAUACCAGGUGCUGUAGGCU